AUGCUCUGUAGUUGUACUUCCCAUAAACAUACUAGUUAUUGAGCUAUUCUGCUUUCUACGUGAAAUUUACCUAGGUUUAUUUACUAGGCUGAAAGGAAAAAAUAAAGUGCACUGAAAUUUAAACACUUGUCAGUAAUUAGGAGUUGAAUUUUCCCAGACAGUUUUGUUGUGCACUCAGACUGGAGUUUGCUACAUGUGGUUGAGUGCUCUGUUUAUUCAUUCACAUCUCAUGGUAGGAACGUAUUGCUAGC